rnacentral:rRNA from 1 species
UACGUAGGGUGCGAGCGUUAAUCGGAAUUACUGGGCGUAAAGCGUGCGCAGGCGGUUCGUUAAGUCAGCUGUGAAAGCCCCGGGCUUAACCUGGGAAUGGCGGUUGAAACUGGCGAACUUGAAUCUGGCAGAGGGGGGUGGAAUUCCACGUGUAGCAGUGAAAUGCGUAGAGAUGUGGAGGAACACCGAUGGCGAAGGCAGCCCCCUGGGUCAAGAUUGACGCUCAUGCACGAAAGCGUGGGGAGCAAACAGG